AGGAGACCCCAGCUAACCAUUAUCAUUAGCAUACAAAAAGACACUUAUCACUUCAGAGAUGCCAAGGGUUUUAGGAGCUGUAUGCCAGGAAAUGGGACGAAGACCAAAAUAUAUAUUUCUUAUUAUAAAACAUGAUAUCACAGACACUAAUUAUUUUAUGGCAGAAAAUAUACCAUGGAAAAUAAGCUUGAAGAUCUUUUCUUUUGAGUCAGAUACAUUUGGGUUUUUUUCCCCAGUGGUAAGCAUAUGUAGUUGACAUAUUGUGUUGCCUUUCACUGCAUGCCUCUGGCUUCAUGUAGGACCCACGUGUGAAGCCUGUGAGUUUGAUUGCACUGCAGGAGGACCCCCUAAAGCUACUGCUGCAAAAUGCUCCUAGAGCAAAGGCCCUUCAGGGUCCAGGUGACCAUGGUACUGCUGGCUUGGAGACCACACUCUGAGGGGCCAGAAUAGAGGCAAUUGCUCAGCUCUCCAUUUUUGUGUUAAACGCAUUUACACCCUCACUGAUUGUUUGGUGUUACAUUAUCUUCUUUCAAGGAGAAUUCAUUUGCAUGAGGUAUUUUUAGCUACAAGGGUUCUCUUGAUGAAGCAUAAGUGAAUGUUUCUCUUUCUAGAGGAAUGGCCAUAGCUGGGAGGGGCAUCCUCUGUGGUGGAUGUGGAGCCAUUUACUAGUUGCCACCUACUGGUUGCAUGACCUAGUAUGACCUUGGGCAGGUCACAACCUCUCUGGGCCUCAGGUCCUUCAUGGAUGAGAAUGAGAUGCAUACACCUUGCUCCGUUUACUUCACAGGAUGGUAGUGACGAUGUGAGACAAUGGAUGUGAAGCUGCUUCCCAGAGUAAAAAUGUGUUCUUAUCAUCCUGUUAUUUAUGCCCAAUAUCCAAAGUCUACACCCUUUUUAAUUGACAGCACUUAGUAGAUUUGUAAUGUGUGAUAGGGAGGUUAGGCAUAAUGGUUAUAGCUGUGCUCUGGAAUGCUUGCGUAUUUCCUUAAUUUGACUCAUUUCUGCUUUGAAGGGGGAGAGGCGUGUCACCUCCUUAUCCCAAUCUCUGUAUUUCUGACCCUUCUGAGAUGGCAAUGUCCCAGGCCAUCAGGACCCAAAUCCUACAUUUAAGGAGAGGACUGUGAUUGUGUUGAAACAUAAUUAUUGCACACGCUGUCAUUUUCAAGUCCUAAAAAGCAGUUGGAUGUUUUACACAUGCGUUUUUCUGGUUACUUCCAAGUAUUGAGUAUGAUUCCCAUUUCAGAGAUGAGGCAGCAGGGGCCUCAGAGAGUUUAUGUAACUGGUUCAAGGCCACACAGUUGAUCUACACUUCUGCAGAAUUUCAAGUGUUGGUAUGCCUGACUUCAAAGACUGCCUUGAUUUCAUCAUGAGAAGCUACCGUCCCUCUUCUUGCCCAAGGAUUCUCACAGUGGAGUUCUUGUGAAGAACCUUAGCCUGAAGCCUUGCUUCAGAUGGCCCUGUGGCAGGGCAGCGAGAGAGUGCUGGGGGCAAAGUGGCCUGGCUGCCUGAUGAUGCAUGCCAUAUUUGAAGUGGUUCACCUCCAUGUCACAGGGCAUGGAUAUGGGAAUAAGAGAGCAGGGUCUGACUUUUUCUGAGGGAGAAGUUAUCAGUGACAGCAGGAGACCAGUCUCUCUACAGGGACGGUGCCCAGCUGUCACUAACAAAGGAAAGGAAAGCCACUAUCAGGGAAGGGAGAGGUGACCUCCACCCAUGUACUGAAUCAAAAGAGACUGGAGAACAACUCAAGAGGAAGAGUUUCGGGAAAUGCAUGUAAAUUGGAUUCCCUAGGGAAGGCCAGUGCGGUCAGUGAUAGUCUGGGUAUUUAUCUUCCCAACAGUGGUCUCCAUCCUUGUCAUGAUAUCUGUAUUUGUUAGUCACACUGCAUUAGUCUUACUCUUGCAGGCUUGCUUUGUGGGGUGUGUUUUAUUCACCACAAUCCUCAGAAGUGUUAUUUCUAUGAUUUAUUGCCCUUUGGUGUUUAUGUUCCUCUCCCAGUUUUACCUUUCUUCAACCAUUGUCUAACAUUUUAGCAUUUGACUUUCUGUAUUUCUAUAAGAAGAAAUUUGUCUUCUUCUCAUAUUUAUUUUACCAUUUGUUUUGUUCUCCCAACAUCUUUCGCUCUCAGAAUUUAUCUCUCUUAUUUUGAAAAUAUGUCUCAGAAUAUGGUCUUUUUCUUUUCCCUACUUGCCCUUUAUUUGUUUAAUGUUUCACAUCUUUUCUGUGCUUUGCUCCUAGCCUGGAGCUUGGGCUUUCGGAAGGGGCAUUCUCUGGGGUGGAAAAAGCCUUGGCUGUUUCCAGCAGACACGGCUUUGGUGCAAGCUGCUUUAUAUCUCCACGCGCCUCAAUUUUUCAAUCCAUACAAAAGGGGGAUAUUAAAAGCCCAAGAGAUAAACUGUGAUCUCUGCUUUGUCUCAGAAUAGCUCUGAUAGUUGCCAAGAAUGAAUAUUUAGUUUGACGACAGUAAAAGGGACGUUCUUGCUAAGGAUAUAGUCUGUUUUUCAUUUUUCUUAUCAGCGUUAGAGGGAGGGCAGGUCUACUUGUGUCAUGUUUCUGUAAUUUUCUUUUUGACACAUCUAGACUGCUACAGGUUCCUCAGCAGCAGCAACAGUUAUAACAUCAGCAUUUUUGCAGCUUUUAAUGAAUAUGCAAAUAUAUGUGUCAGAAUCACCGUUUUAUCAAACAUAAUGAUAAUCCCAAUUAAUGGACAUUAACAUUUGAAUAGCUACAUUAUAGCUUACUAGGCACAUUCAUAGGUCUUUUCUCCUUUGAUGCUCACAAUAAUCAUGUUAGGAUUAUUAUCCCAUUUACUAGGGUGAAACUGAGACUCAAGGAGAUUAAGUAACAGCUAGUAAGUGGCAGAGCCAGAAUCUGAACCAAUUUCUUCUAAUUCCCAGUUUUGUGUGCUUUCCCGGUAUAAUGUUGCAUCCACAUUUAUUUUUGUCUAUAGCAUUAGAUAUACUUUUGCAAAUUACUUCUCAUUCCUUGGGCUUUCUUAUGUGGACUUCCUUGUCUGGUUUCACUUAGCCUAAUUUUUUUCAUCUAUCUGUCCUCAUCAGAGCCUCUUCCUCUAGGCCAGCAACUGUCACUAAUGCGUGCCGGAAUGGGUGGGUUGUGGUGGCUGCUGCUUUCUAACAUCAUUAAUUUCCAAUCUCUUUUCACACUCUCCACUGUAGAAAAUGCUUCAUCCUUUCCUGAUCAACUCGAGUUGUCUCUGAUGGCUGAGUGCGGGAAAGUUUCCAAGGAGAAGGUUAAUAAAACAUUCCCUUCUAAAACCAACCCCUUCCCUGCCCAAUGACUAGCUCAUAAAAGUUCAGCCUGACUUUAUGGUGAUAGUGGCUGCCCAGACCCAGCCUCCCUUUCUGCUCUGUGCCUUUAAGAUUUCUCUGGGCUGGGACCUGAGCUUUCAUAGGGAUUGGUACUCUAAGAGACACCCUGCUGGUGUUUAAUAAAUAUCAAACUGCUGCCCUGAUAUUCCUGAGCAAUUGGAAGAGCCUGUGUGCUGUGAUCAGACAGUUCCAUCCUGGGUACGUUUUUAACACUUGAAUUUCCUCUGGGGACAGCUGUUAGGGGACUUCCGUCAUCACGCCAACUGGGGCAGUGAUGUUCAAACUCCCAACACAUCUGCCUAAAUCUCUUGUCAUUUCAGAGUGAACCUUGGCUGUGAAUAUCUCAGGCUGCUUUUGUUUUCUAGUCGCAUGCUACAGCAAGCUCACAGGUUCACUGGCGCUCUGAUGUGGCAGCUCACCACCCUCGUGGCUCACAUCCCUCCCCACUGACCUCACAACCCAGCCUUUCUGAGGUGCCUAAUGCAGCAAUUUGCAGAGGAACUGUUGCAUGACUUUCCCUUCUCCUUUCUUCUUGUGUACUCUCUCUGUACAUCUUUUGUUCUCUCGCCAUGGCUCCCUUUUUCUGAGAAAGGGGAGAGAGAUAUAAAUAAAUUCAUGCUGAACAAAUAAAAACAUAUCCACACUUAAUGUACUUUCGCUUACACCUACCAAAAUUUUCUUCCUGAAAUUCUUCCAAAGAUAUUGUUUUGCUCUUUUGCUCCAAGAGUCAGUGUCAUAUACUUUUCCUUAUGUUAUCCGUCAUCUCCGUGUACUCACUCUCCAUCUCCAAGUCCAAUUCAGAAUUAUCCCCUAUGUGCACAGGACUCUCCAUAGAAAUGCUCUUCCUAGCAUUUGUCUUUAGGCCAAAAUACUUCUAAGCUUGUACUCCAUUCUCUCUUCUUGCCUUCCUUUCUCUUUAGUUCACUUUUUUCCUUAGUUUCAUUUAUACACUUAGAAUUUCCCUGGUUUUAUAUAUCAAAGAUUAUAAUAAAUGUAAAAAUACUUUGUAAACUGCUGAAUUCUGUAUCAAUAUAUAGGAUUAUAAAAUCAAUGUAUUAUUAUAUUCAAGGUACUUUGACCAGAAAGUACUUUCUUCUUUUCACAGCCUGGCUGCAAAUAUUACUCAAGAAAGACUCAGAGGACAGCUACAUGCUCCUAACACUAGAAGGGGUUGAUAGUCAUCAAAUUAGGUUGCAGAUCAUCACUGAAUUAUUAUUGAGAUUUUGCUGA
rnacentral:lncRNA from 10 species